AAAUUUUAUUAGUCACAUGCGCCGAAUACAACAGGUAUUACAGUGAAAUGCUGACUUACGAGCCCCUAACCGACAAUGCAGUUUUAAAAAAUACAGAUAAGAUUAAGAGAUAAAAGUAACAAGUAAUUAAAGAGGAGCAGUAAAAAAUAACAUUAUAUACAGGCGGUGUGGAGGCUAUAUACAGGGUAUUACGGUACAGAGUCAAUGUGGAGGCUAUAUACAGGGGGUACUGGUACAGAGUCAAUGUGGAGACUAUAUACAGGGUGUUACGGUACAGAGUCAAUGUGGAGGUUAUAUACAGGGGGUACUGGUACAGAGUCAAUGUGGAGGCUAUAUACAGGGGGUACUGGUACAGAGUCAAUGUGGAGGCUAUAUACAGGGUAUUACGGUACAGAGUCAAUGUGGAGACUAUAUACAGGGUAUUACGGUACAGAGUCAAUGUGGAGGCUAUAUACAGGGGGUACCAGUACAGAGUCAAUGUGGAGGCUAUAUACAGGGUAUUACGGUACAGAGUCAAUGUGGAGGCUAUAUACAGGGGGUACCAGUACAGAGUCAAUGUGGAGGCUAUAUACAGGGUAUUACGGUACAGAGUCAAUGUGGAGGCUAUAUACAGGGGGUACCAGUACAGAGUCAAUGUGGAGGCUAUAUACAGGGUAUUACGGUACAGAGUCAAUGUGGAGGCUAUAUACAGG
ensembl:lncRNA